rnacentral:rRNA from 1 species
GACGAACGCUGGCGGCGUGCUUAACACAUGCAAGUCGAACGGAAAGGCCCUGCUUUUGUGGGGUGCUCGAGUGGCGAACGGGUGAGUAAAACGUGAGUAACCUGCCCUUGACUUUGGGAUAACUUCAGGAAACUGGGGCUAAUACCGGAUAGGAGCUCCUGCUGCAUGGUGGGGGUUGGAAAGUUUCGGCGGUGGGGGAUGGACUGGCGGCUUAUCAGCUAGUUGGUGGGGUAGUGGAUUACCAAGGCUUUGAAGGGUAGCCGGCCUGAGAGGGUGACCGGCCACAUUGGGCCUGCGAUACGGCCCAGACUCCUACGUGAGGCAGCAGUGGAGAAUAUUACACAAUGGGCGCGAGCCUGAUGCGGCAACGCCGCGUGCGGGAUGCCGGCCUUCGGGUUAUAAACCGCUUUCGCCUUUGACGAAGCGUGAGUGACGGUAAUGGGUAAAGAAGCACCGGCUAACUACGUG